rnacentral:ncRNA from 1 species
GGCGGCCCGGUCCCGAGGCCCCGGACGAGAUGCGCCGUACCCGGUUAUGCACGACGACGCGCA